UACGUAGGGUGCAAGCGUUGUCCGGAAUUAUUGGGCGUAAAGGGAGUGUAGGCGGUUUGUUAAGUCUUCUGUGAAAUCUACGGGCUUAGCCUGUAACGUGCAGAGGAAACUAGCAGGCUUGAGUGUCGGAGAGGAUAGGGGAAUUCCCGGUGUAGAGGUGAAAUUCGUAGAGAUCGGGAGGAACACCAGUGGCGAAGGCGCCUAUCUGGCUGACAACUGACGCUGAGACUCGAAAGCAUGGGGAGCAAACAGG
rnacentral:rRNA from 1 species